rnacentral:rRNA from 1 species
GGUUGAUCCUGCCAGUAGUCAUAUGCUUGUCUCAAAGAUUAAGCCAUGCAUGUCUAAGUCCAAGCUGUGUUCACACGGCGAGACCGCGGACGGCUCAUUAAAUCAGUCGUGGUCCAAAUGGGCCAGUGCAAAUCCUACUUGGAUAACUGUGGUAAUUCCAGAGCUAAUACAUGCAACUGAUAUCCCGAAGGCGGUGUCGGGGCUUGCUUGUCUUGCCCUGCCUGCUCUGACGGAUGCUUUUAUUAGACCAAGCCGCUGAGGACUUGAGGGUUCGCGCUCUCUUGUUUGACUCGUGUGAUGGUGACUCUGGAUAACCAAAUUCUGACAAGCGCACGUACUUCUCUUCUGAGCGAGACGGCGCUGCCACUUUCGAGUGUCUGCCUUAUCAGCUAUCAACCGUUCGUUAUGCGCGACCGAUGGCUUUGACGGGUAACGGGGAAUCAGGGUUCGAUUCCGGAGAGGCAGCCUGAGAGACGGCUACCACGUCCAAGGACGGCAGCAGGCACGCAAAUUACCCAAUCCCAGCAAAUGGGGGAGGUAGUGACGAAAUCUAACGAUGCGGGCGCCCUUUCUGGGGCCCCGCAAUCGGAAUGGGCACUUUCUAAACAACCUGUUGAGAACCUACUGAAGGGCAAGUCUGGUGCCAGCAGCCGCGGUAAUUCCAGCUUCAGCAGCAUCUAUUAAAGUUGCUGCRGUUAAAARGCUCGYAGUUGAAUGUCUGUAUCGAGCGCAGGUCAGGUGGACGUU